GGAAAGGGCGCCCCCUUCCCCACCACCCGCACCCCCUCCCCCGCCGCCCCCCGGGACCCCCGGGAACCUCCCGGGCUCGGGCGGGUGCUGAGGGAGGCGCUGCAGAGAGCGGGGCAGGCGCUGCGAGAGGCCGUGCAGGGACAGGUAUUUUGGACAUCUUGUGUCCAUGUUCCCCAAGGCUCUUACCUGAUGUUCCACAGCAGGCAAUAUGGUCGGAUCUCCGUCCUGAUCGAGCCAGCGACGAGGGUAGAAAUCCAAUAUCCAAAUUCCAAAUGCAAAUUCCUACAAGAGCUAGAGUCCCAGGAUCCCGCUUCUUUCAGCAGUGCUUAAAAAAUUACCUCGGGGCUUUCCGACAAGUCACACAGUUAUCUGGCGAGUUAUCUGCCUCACAUUACGGGCACCCAUUUGUCGGGUUUUGCCCUUUUCCAACCCAGAGAUGGGGAAACUGAGAGGCGUUUUAAAAAACUUUUAUUCUAUUUUCAGUCUCAUAUGAAGGGUGAGACAAUACAGAUAUUAUAAUUCACGCCAUCACAAUCAGAAGCAACAAUUUCCUGAUUACAAUCCAUUAUAAGGAUUUCUUGCCCUAUCAGUGUUUGUCACAUCAUGCCGUAAAAUGCUUUAAAGCCAAUCAUCUAAAAUCACCCCUCAUGGGUUCUACUACAAUGCAUCUCUCAUAGUUCUAUUUCUCCAGACUAUUUAGUCUAAUUUACGAGGCCAUCUUAUAAAACAUUUUUCUAACUCCAUUUCUCUUGCAACAACAUCUAUCCUAUUCCAUGGCAUUUCUAAGUCAGCAUUUCUUAUCUCCAGGUUUGCAUACUGAUGCACACUGUGUGAGCCUUCUGUCAGGCCCUGAGAACUCCCUACAAAUCCAUUUCCCACAAAUAUGGAAGCAGCAAGCGCAGGGAGAAUCUGGGCUGGGGAUCAGUGCUCAGCAGAGCUCCAGUGAAAGCCAGCGGGGCUGGGAGCUCUGCAGCUGGGCCUGCCCUGGGCUGCUGCGGCCCAGGGCCCAAAGGCUGGAGCUGCAGCCUUGCUCCUGUGGCAACAACAGGAGCCUGGUGCAGGCCCACGGCCCCUGCACGGCCCCAGCAGGAGGGAGGGCUCUGAGGCCCAGGGCUGCUGGCAGCAUGGGUUGCUGUGGCCAGCUGGGGGCCUCUGAACAAUGGCCAAAGCCUUGUGCUCUCUGCAGCUGGCCAAGGGCAGCAGCAGGGCUCAAGGCUUCGUGUGGCACAGGCAGCCCCAGCUGGGGAGCCCUCAGGCCCCCGUGGCACAGGCGGCCUCAGCACCGGCUCCGGCAAUUGGGAUAAGGAUUGGGAAUAUAUGAAUGGGACAGGAAAUAUGGAAAUAGCAAUAGUUGAGAGAAUAUGGGAUGGGGAUUAAGAAGAUGGCACUGGGAUUGGAAAUAGGAAUAUGGGAAUGGGACAGGGAA